rnacentral:rRNA from 1 species
GAUAUUCGCCAGAGUCUACUAGCAACAGCUUAAAACUCAAAGGACUUGGCGGUGCUUUAAACCCACCUAGAGGAGCCUGUUCUAUAAUCGAUGUUCCCCGCUAAACCUCACCACUUCUCGCUAAACCAGUCUAUAUACCGCCAUCUUCAGCAAACAAGA